ACUCAAAUGAAUAGACGGGGACCCGCACAAGCAGCGGAGCAUGUGGUUUAAUUCGAAGCAACGCGAAAAACCUUACCAAGACUUGACAUCCUAUGCCAACCCCCGAAAAGGGGCUUUCCUUCGGGACAUAGAGACAGGUGUUGCAUGGUUGUCGUCAGCUCGUGUCGUGAGAUGUUGGGUUAAGUCCCGCAACGAGCGCAACCCUUAUCAUUAGUUGCCAAUAUUUAGUUAGGAACUCUAGUGAGACUGCCGUAGAUAAUACGGAGGAAGGUGGGGAUGACGUCAAAUCAUCAUGGCCCUUACGUCUUGGGCUACACACGUGCUACAAUGGCUAUUACAAAGGGCAGCGAUACCGCAAGGUGGAGCGAAUCCCAAAAAGAUAGUCUCAGUUCGGAUUGAGGGCUGAAACCCGCCCUCAUGAAGUCGGAGUUGCUAGUAAUCCCGAAUCAGCAUGUCGGGGUGAAUGCGUUCCCGGGUCUUGUACACACCGCCCGU
rnacentral:rRNA from 1 species